rnacentral:rRNA from 1 species
GACGAACGCUGGCGGCGUGCCUAAUACAUGCAAGUCGAGCGCAGGAAACUGACGGAACUCUUCGGAGGGAAGGCAGUGGAAUGAGCGGCGGACGGGUGAGUAACACGUAAGGAACCUGCCUCAAGGAUUGGGAUAACUCCGAGAAAUCGGAGCUAAUACCGGAUAGUUCAACGGACCGCAUGGUCCGCUGAUGAAAGGCGCUCCGGCGUCACCUUGAGAUGGCCUUGCGGUGCAUUAGCUAGUUGGUGGGGUAACGGCCCACCAAGGCGACGAUGCAGAGCCGACCUGAGAGGGUGAUCGGCCACACUGGGACUGAGACACGGCCCAGACUCCUAUGGGAGGCAGCAGUAGGGAACCUUCCACAAUGGACGAAAGUCUGAUGGAGCAACGCCGCGUGAGUGAUGAAGGUUUUCGGAUCGUAAAACUCUGUUGUAAGGGAAGAACACGUACGAGAGGGAAUGCUCGUACCUUGACGGUACCUUACGAGAAAGCCACGGCUAACUACGUGCCAGCAGCCGCCGUAAUAC